GUGCUCGCUUUGGCAGCACGUAUACUAAAAUUGGAAUGGUACAGAGAUUAUCAUGGCCCCUGUGCAAGAAUGACAAGCAAAUUCAUGAAGGAUUCCAUGUUAAA